GAAAGCCCUCGGCUUAACCGAGGAAGUGCAUCGGAAACUGGGAAACUUGAGUGCAGAAGAGGACAGUGGAACUCCAUGUGUAGCGGUGAAAUGCGUAGAUAUAUGGAAGAACACCAGUGGCGAAGGCGGCUGUCUGGUCUGUAACUGACGCUGAGGCUCGAAAGCAUGGGUAGCGAACAGGAUUAGAUACCCUGGUAGUCCAUGCCGUAAACGAUGAAUGCUAGGUGUUGGAGGGUUUCCGCCCUUCAGUGCCGCAGCUAACGCAUUAAGCAUUCCGCCUGGGGAGUACGACCGCAAGGUUGAAACUCAAAGGAAUUGACGGGGGCCCGCACAAGCGGUGGAGCAUGUGGUUUAAUUCGAAGCAACGCGAAGAACCUUACCAGGUCUUGACAUCUUUUGAUCACCUGAGAGAUCAGGUUUCCCCUUCGGGGGCAAAAUGACAGGUGGUGCAUGGUUGUCGUCAGCUCGUGUCGUGAGAUGUUGGGUUAAGUCCCGCAACGAGCGCAACCCUUAUGACUAGUUGCCAGCAUUUAGUUGGGCACUCUAGUAAGACUGCCGGUGACAAACCGGAGGAAGGUGGGGAUGACGUCAAAUCAUCAUGCCCCUUAUGACCUGGGCUACACACGUGCUACAAUGGAUGGUACAACGAGUUGCGAGACCGCGAGGUCAAGCUAAUCUCUUAAAGCCAUUCUCAGUUCGGACUGUAGGCUGCAACUCGCCUACACGAAGUCGGAAUCGCUAGUAAUCGCGGAUCAGCACGCCGCGGUGAAUACGUUCCCGGGCCUUGUACACACCGCCCGUCACACCAUGAGAGUUUGUAACACCCGAAGCCGGUGGCGUAACCCUUUUAGGGAGCGAGCCGUCUAAGGUGGGACAAAUGAU
rnacentral:rRNA from 1 species